CCUAUGGGGGGCAGCAGGCGCGAAAACUUUACAAUGCGGGCAACCGUGAUAAGGGAACCUCGAGUGCCUGUAAAUGCAGGCUGUUUAGGUGUUUAAAACGCACCUGGAGAAAGGGCCGGGCUAGACCGGUUGUUAAGUCUCUUGGGAAAUCUGGCGGCUUAACCGUCAGGCGUCUAAGGGAUACUGGCAAUCUUGGAACCGGGAGAGGUGAGGGGUACUUCGGGGGUAGGAGUGAAAUCCUGUAAUCCUCGAGGGACCACCUGUGGCGAAGGCGCCUCACCAGAACGGCUUCGACAGUGAGGGACGAAAGCUGGGGGAGCAAACCGGAUUAGAUACCCCCGUAGUCC
rnacentral:rRNA from 1 species